CCUACGGGUGGCAGCAGUAGGGAAUAUUGCACAAUGGGGGAAACCCUGAUGCAGCGACGCCGCGUGCGCGAUGAAGUCCUUCGGUAUGUAAAGUUCUAUCAUCAGGGAAGAAAAUGAUGGUAACUGAUUAAUAAGCCUCGGCUAACUACGUGCCAGCCGCCGCGGUCAUACGUAGGGGGCAAGCGUUAUCCGGAUUUACUGGGUGUAAAGGGAUCGUAGACGGCUAGGCAAGCCAGCUGUGAAAGGCUGGGGCGAAACCCCAAGACUACAUUUGGAACUGUCAUGCUAGAGUGUCGGAGAGGCAGGCGGAAUUCCUAGUGUAGGGUUGAAAUGCGUAGAUAUUAGGAGGAACACCAGUGGCGAAGGCAGGCUGCUGGACGGUGUCUGACGUUGAGGCUCGAAAGCGUGGGGAGCAAACGGGAUUAGAUACCCUUGUAGUC
rnacentral:rRNA from 1 species